ACAAACUGCUGUUUUGCUUUGACAUCAAUAGAAUUGGGCUAGACAUCAAAAACAAGACUGCAGGUCCCGGACUACCCAUCAGCAACACCACAGGAGAUCCGGGGGAGCGGUCUGUGCCAGAGUUUGAGCCUGCAAUUCUAUGCUGGAGCCUGGUGACUGCAUUCGUGAACUGGAGCCUGAACCCACACAUACUCUAGAUAUGCUCUAGAUCCAGGCAAAGACAACGAGGAAUAAGAGAAGGCUGCCCACAGGUGAAUGAGUGGAGAUCCUCACCAAGUUGCAGGAGACCAUCAAGGGCCACCAAGCCCCAAGCCAGCUCUGCAGCAAGUGUGAUCUGCAGUCUCCCAG